GACGAACGCUGGCGGCGUGCUUAACACAUGCAAGUCGAACGGAAAGGCCCUGCUUUUGUGGGGUGCUCGAGUGGCGAACGGGUGAGUAACACGUGAGUAACCUGCCCUUGACUUUGGGAUAACUUCAGGAAACUGGGGCUAAUACCGGAUAGGAGCUCCUGCUGCAUGGUGGGGGUUGGAAAGUUUCGGCGGUUGGGGAUGGAAUCGCGGCUUAUCAGCUUGUUGGUGGGGUAGUGGCUUACCAAGGCUUUGACGGGUAGCCGGCCUGAGAGGGUGACCAGCCACAUUGGGACUGAGAGACGGCCCAGACUCCUACGGGAGGCAGCAGUGGGGAAUAUUGCACAAUGGGCGGAAGCCUGAUGCAGCAACGCCGCGUGCGGGAUGACGGCCUUCGGGUUGUAAACCGCUUUCGCCUGUGACGAAGCGGGAGUGACGGUAAUGGGUAAAGAAGCACCGGCUAACUACGUG
rnacentral:rRNA from 1 species